CUUUUGUUAAUUAAAGAUCAUCUAAUUCAAUUAUUUGUAUGUAUAUGAAAUUUGCUUUCACUUUGUAGUGUUUCCUGUAGCUUUUGAAUAGUUCCAAGAACCAAACUUUUUUGGCACUCUAAACCAGACAGAGGAAACUAAAACAAAUAAAAAAGAUCUGGUUUUUAAUCUUAUUUCAUCUUCAUUGUUAAACCAAAGCUAUGUGAUUCCGUCUAAUCUGUAUCCACUUUUCUGGAUAAGAAUCUUAGUGUAUAUAUUUAUCUGUAUGUGUACAUAUAUGAAAACUAUGGAGUAAUUGAUAAAUUAUGUACAAAUGAUCAAUGUUGUGUGAUUGAGUGAUCAAAAUUGGGAAUUCAUUUGGACAAAUUGGUUUUUGGUUUUCUGUCAGAGUUUCCGCUGAAGUACAAUUUUUGGCAAUGUCAUAUAAUAGUUUAGGUUUCAUAAUGGAGUUGUUUGGGUUGUGUUUACUGAAUUUUGGAGUUUCAUAAUGCAUAGAGAAUGGAGCAAAAAUCAUACCAAGAAUGGAAUUCGGAUUGAGCUCUCACAUAUUUCAUUUCUUUGUGUAAAUAAUUGUUGUUUUCUUUUGUAUUAUACAUGUUUUCAAAAAAUGGUGGCAUGAUGUUUUUGAAUAGGUAGAUUCUUCGGUUUAGAUUGAUCAAGUGUACCUUCUUUAGGGGUAGAAACAUAUACCGCUUAGGACUCAGUAGUCUUAAGAGAUUUUUUUUUGAACUUUGGGAAAGGUUCAGAAAAAUCAAGAUAAAAAGUUAUGUAAUUAAUAUUAUCAAUGCAGUUGACAAUGAUAGUUGGGAUGUAAGUCUCUAAAGUCCCAUCUUUGAUCAGAUUUAAAAUGUCAGCAGCACAAUUGCAGGAAGUGAAAUUGAGAAAAAUCGCAAGACCUGGAAACAAAGUGGCUCAUCGUUUAGCCAAAGAAGGCAUACACAUUAGGGAAUCAGCCUUUUAGAAGGAAAGUAACCUCCCAUUGGUUGAAAAUCUUAUCAGAGAAGAUAUAUCCAGUUGAUGUAGAGAAGGAAUAACCUAUUUAAGCAUUUUGUUUUGACCAAGAGUUGUCAGUUGUGUUUCAGUUUUCAUUCUAAUGAAAGCAAUUUCAUUUUAAUCAAAAGAAAAAAGAAAAAAAAAACAAGAUUUGCCUUUUUUAAAAACAACAAAAGCAUGUGUUGAGUAAAAUGGUUAUGAGUUUUGUAUAUUUUGUUUGUUUUGUUUACAAUUGUUGUUGCUGUUUCUUGUAACUUUAUUUUUCUUUAGCUGUUGAAAAUUUCAUUUGUUGUUUUUUCUGUAGUUGGAGCUCAAAAGUUACAUAUAUUCAAGAAAUUGUGAAGACCAGCUUUUUUAAACUCACACACAUUUAUCACUAUAAUCUAUAUGUUACUGCACUAUCAUAUUGAAUCUGGACAUUAAUAGUUUAUAGUGAUCAACACGACCAUUGAAUCUGGGUUUUCUUUCUUCUUGGAUCCUUCUUAGCUGUGUGAUGUACAGUUUGUUUUUCAUUUUGGGUACAAUUGGAACAAAAUUUUCUUUUCAAUUCCAAUUCAAUUCUCUUUUCCUGACUUCAUUUCUUGGAAAUAUCAAGUCUAUUUUAUAUUUUUCUUCUGCUUAAUGAGCAGCAACAUGGUUGGCGAACAAUACCAAUCAUUAAGUGAAACACUUAGAAGUAAUAUGUCCUUUCAAAUUAAAGCUUUUUAAUGCUCUAAACCUUUUGAGUGCUCUUAAAUCAGAAGUUAAUCAAGACAGAAUCAUACCGGUAGCUUUUAUAAUAUUUAUUGAUAAUGCACAAAUUAGUCACUAUACUUCCUUGAACAUGGGCAUAUUCCUUUCUUUCCGCUUGGACAUGCGGACAUGCAUGUCUUCCCUUUACUUUAAUAUCUUUUCUUUUUGUUUUUCUUUUUCUUUUUUGGAAGUUAACUGAUGAAAAGACAUGAUUCAUUCUGGAUUAUGCACUGAUUAUGUUCCAUGAAUGAGAUGCAUUGUUAGAUACUGUGAUCUUUUGCUUUCUGUCAUUACAAAUCUGUACUCUGAGCUCACUCUCUUCUGUCAGCUCCCAGGUCUUCAUCUGCUGCUUCUUAACUAGAGAAGAGGCUCAGAAAUCAUUGAUGUUGAACAGCAGCAGAGGAGCAAUAGUGACAGCUUUUUCGAUAUUGAAGAGCUCCUGCAGAUUGGGACCAGAUGCAGAGGGGUGUGGUUUCUGCUUUUCAAAGUAAAA